rnacentral:rRNA from 1 species
CUACGGCCGCAGCAGUGGGGAAUAUUGCACAAUGGAGGAAACUCUGAUGCAGCAACGCCGCGUGGAGGAUGACACUUUUCGGAGCGUAAACUCCUUUUAUAUAGGAAGAAGAUGACGGUACUAUAUGAAUAAGCGCCGGCUAACUCCGUGCCAGCAGCCGCGGUAAUACGGAGGGCGCAAGCGUUACUCGGAAUCACUGGGCGUAAAGAGCAUGUAGGCGGAUUAAAAAGUCAGAAGUGAAACCCUAUAGCUUAACUAUAGAACUGCUUCUGAAACUCUUAAUCUAGAAUAUGGGAGAGGUAGAUGGAAUUUCUGGUGUAGGGGUAAAAUCCGUAGAGAUCAGAAGGAAUACCGAUUGCGAAGGCGAUCUACUAGAACAUUAUUGACGCUGAGACGCGAAAGCGUGGGGAGCAAACAGGAUUAGAUACCCCCGUAGUC